rnacentral:rRNA from 1 species
UCCGGAUUUAUUGGGCGUAAAGAGCUCGUAGGCGGUUCGGCAAGUCGGAUGUGAAAUCUCCACGCUCAACGUGGAGGGGCCAUUCGAAACUGCCGUGACUCGAGUCCGGUAGGGGAGUGUGGAAUUCCCGGUGUAGCGGUGAAAUGCGCAGAUAUCGGGAGGAACACCAGUAGCGAAGGCGGCACUCUGGGCCGGUACUGACGCUGAGGAGCGAAAGCGUGGGGAGCAAACAGG